rnacentral:lncRNA from 1 species
GAUGUUAAGGCUGCAUUCUUUGGCCUAGCCUUUGCGUCCUUUGAUUUAGGCUUUAUAAUGGGGCAAUACCUUUUAUCUUCUUCUCUAUCUUCUUCCUUGAAACUAAAGUGAGAUCUAAUUUAAGUAGAACAUGAUAUUAUCUUAUUUUGCCUGCACCUGACAUUUGAAGGUUUUAAAUGGUUUCUUCCAGAUCCUUUAUAAUAAAGUAAUUGAGUUUCCAAAAGAUGUUCUAAUUUUGACAUGCUUGACUCAUCAUUGGUUUCUUACACUCUGAUGCUAUCAGAAAUUAAAAUGCACAUAAUUUGAAUUAACAAGUCAGUGUACAAUCAAAAUAUAGAUAUUUGUUGAAGCACAAAUACUGCAAUGUUCAGGUAUUAUGACUUUGCUGCUUCUCGAAGUGCAUGACUUGAUGGAUGCUAAUCCAUUUGAGUUGUAUGGCUUACUGGAAAUCUAACUUCGAGCACAAUCGAGGAUCAACUUUUCCAUAAGCCAGUAAUUUAAGGUGACAGAAAGUAGUUUUAUGCCUGAUCACGAAAAAUGAUUUAGACUUUUGAGUUAUGCUAGAAUUCUUUGGGUUUCUUUUUUUUCUUAAAGAAACUAUUUUUUUCUUAGGUUAAGUAACUCAACCAAUAUAUGGAGGGGAACAUUUUAUGAUUUUAUCAUUUUACUUGUUGAAUUCUAAAUUCUCUUCCUGGUGAUUCCAUGUGAUUCUGUUCUCUUUUGUGCUUCUUUCUAUUUGCUCUUUCCAUCUCCUCUGUCCCAUAACUUGCCUGCUUCACCAGUAGAUUCCAUCAUCUGGUCUUAAGGCAAAAUGAAACAAGUUCUCUCAAGGUUAAUGUGUCAGUGAAUGCAUAUAGAUAAGCUGGGAUGAUGUACGGAAGACUUUGAGAGUCAUUAAGAAGAUGGUUUCUAAGAUAGACUUUGAGACUUUGAGAGUCAUUAAUGUGUCUGUUGUUUGUGUUUCGAUGUUAAGGCUGCAUUCUUUGGCCUAGCCUUUGCGUCCUUUGAUUUAGGCUUUAUAAUGGGGCAAUACCUUUUAUCUUCUUCUCUAUCUUCUUCCUUGAAACUAAAGUGAGAUUAAAUUUAAGUAGAACAUGAUACUAUCUUAUUUUGCCUGCACCUGACAUUUGAAGGUUUUAAUGGUUUCCUCCAUAUCCUUUAUAAGAAAGUAAUUGAGUUUCCAAAAGAUGUUCUAAUUUUGACAUGGUUGACUCAUCAUUGGUUUCUUACACUCUGAUGCUAUCAGAAAUUAAAAUGCACAUAAUUUGAAUUAACAGGUCAAUGUACAAUCAAAAUGUAGAUAUUUGUUGAAGCACGAAUACUGCAAUGUUCUGGUAUCAUGACUUUGCUGCUUCUCGAAGUGCAUGACUUGAUGGAUGCUAAUCCAUUUGAGUUGUAUGGCUUACUGGAAAUCUAACUUAGAGCACAAUCCAGGAUCAACUUUUCUAUAAGCCGGUCAUUUAAGGUGAUAGAAAGUAGUUUUAUGCCUGAUCACGAAAAAUGAUUUAGACUUUGGAGUUAUGCUAGAAUUCUUUGGGUUCCUUUUUUUUUUUGCUUAAAACAACUAAUUUUUUCUUAAGUUGAGUAACUCAACCAAUAUAUGGAGGGGAACGUUUUGUGAUUUUAUCAUUUUACUUGUUGAAUUCUAAAUUCUCUUCCUGGUGAUUCCAUGUGAUUCUGUUCUCUUUUGUGCUUCUUUCUAUUUGCUCCUUCCAUCUCCUCUGUCCCAUAACUUGCCUGCUUCACCAGUAGACUCCAUCAUCUGGUCUUAAGGUGAAAUGAAACAAGUUCUCUCAAGGUUAAUGUGUCAGUGAAUGCAUUUACAUAAGCUGGGAUGAUGUACAGAAGACUUUGAGAGUCAUUAAGAAGAUAGUUUCUAAGAUAGAGCUAGAUUACCUUGUUGUUCGUGUUUCGAUGUUAAGGCUGCAUUCUUUGGCCUAGCCUUUGCGUCCUUUGAUUUAGGCUUUAUAAUGGGGCAAUACCUUUUAUCUUCUUCUCUAUCUUCUUCCUUGAAACUAAAGUGAGAUUUAAUUUAACUAGAACAUGAUAUUAUCUUAUUUUGCCUGCACCUGACAUUUGAAGGUUUUAAAUGGUUUCCUCCAGAUCCUUUAUAAUAUUCCUACUUGAAUUUGUUGCCUCUUCAACCUCAUCUACACCCUUCUCUUUAC